AUUGAACGCUGGCGGCAGGCCUAACACAUGCAAGUCGAGCGAGCGGCGGACGGGUGAGUAAUGUAUGGGGACUGCCCGAUAGAGGGGGAUAACUACUGGAAACGGUAGCUAAUACCGCAUACUAUCGGAUAACCCAUAUGGGAUUAGCUAGUAGGUGAGGUAAUGGAUCACCUAGGCGACGAUCCCUAGCUGGUCUGAGAGGAUGAUCAGCCACACUGGUACUGAGCAACGGUACAGACUCCAACGGAGGCAGCAGAGGGGAAUAUUGCACAAUGGGCGCAAGCCUGAUGCAGCCAUGCCGCGUGUAUGAAGGAGGCCAUAGGGUUGUAAAGUACUUUCAGUCGGGAGGCGUUACCGACAGAAGAAGCACCGGCUAACUCCGUGCCAGCAGCCGCGGAAAUAC
rnacentral:rRNA from 1 species